UACGGAGGGGCUAGCGUUGUUCGGAAUUACUGGGCGUAAAGCGCACGUAGGCGGCUUUGUAAGUUAGAGGUGAAAGCCCGGGGCUCAACCCCGGAAUUGCCUUUAAGACUGCAUCGCUAGAAUUGUGGAGAGGUAAGUGGAAUUCCGAGUGUAGAGGUGAAAUUCGUAGAUAUUCGGAAGAACACCAGUGGCGAAGGCGACUUACUGGACACAUAUUGACGCUGAGGUGCGAAAGCGUGGGGAGCAACAGG
rnacentral:rRNA from 1 species